CUAAAGGGUCUGUGCAAUUCUAGAUUCGAAGGUUCAAACCACAAUGAAAUGCACUAAUUCAUACACCAGCAGAAACAUGGAGCCCAUAUCAUGUUUAUCUGUACAUAAAGAACGCUCCCCCUCGACUGGUGAGUGCUGUAUGACUGUUAAGACAUAUGGCCGACAUAAUUUGUGGAAUCCUAUAGGGUUGGCUCGUUUCGGCCGACCCUAAA